rnacentral:rRNA from 1 species
GACGAACGCUGGCGGCGUGCCUAAUACAUGCAAGUCGAGCGCAGGAAACUGACGGAACUCUUCGGAGGGAAGGCAGCGGAAUGAGCGGCGGACGGGUGAGUAACACGUAAGGAACCUGCCUCAAGGAUUGGGAUAACUCCGAGAAAUCGGAGCUAAUACCGGAUAGUUCAUCGGACCGCAUGGUCCGUUGAUGAAAGGCGCUUCGGCGUCACCUUGAGAUGGCCUUGCGGUGCAUUAGCUAGUUGGUGGGGUAACGGCCCACAAAGGCGACGAUGCAUAGCCGACCUGAGAGGGUGAUCGGCCACACUGGGACUGAGACACGGCCCAGACUCCUACGGGAGGCAGCAGUAGGGAAUCUUCCACAAUGGACGAAAGUCUGAUGGAGCAACGCCGCGUGAGUGAUGAAGGUUUUCGGAUCGUAAAACUCUGUUGUAAGGGAAGAACACGUACGAGAGGGAAUGCUCGUACCUUGACGGUACCUUACGAGAAAGCCACGGCUAACUACGUGCCAGCCGCCGCUGUAA